rnacentral:lncRNA from 1 species
GGAGUACAACAUUACCUUUUUUGGGAGACUUGGAUACUAAAAGACAACUAUUAGGGAGACGAGAGUGCAGAAUAAUAUUAUCCUUUAGUUAUUCUUCAAGAAGCGCAGUGGACCCAGGAAUGACAAUGGUGUGAUGAGUAAUGUUCUCCGAGAAGGGACAAGAAGAGUAACUGGGUGCUCAAUUCAAGUUUACCAUAAUCAGAUGUGAGGAUCUCAAGCUUCUUGCACCUUCACCAGUUCAAAGAAACCUAAUCCCCUUUGAUCAUGC